ACCACCGCACGCAACCGUGCUCAGCCCUGCCGCGAGCCACCGCUGUCCGCCGGCCAGCACUCCCCUUAAACUCUUGAAUUGGCGGAGAAUUCUCUUUAGGCGACUUUUGAAAGUGUUAAAGUGGCCUAUCAAUUUGUUUAUACAAGUCUCUAAGGAUCAAUAAGCGUUGCCCAUCUACAGGUUUGAAGAUGAUGCAUCAUUGGGAUCGGGAUUAGAGAGCUUGUAGUUCUAUUUGUUUAAUUAAGUGAUUUAAUUUGUUAACUUGGAUUUGAAAUUUG